CGGUGAACCUUGGAGCUUGCUUCGAGGGGAUCAGUGGCGAACGGGUGAGUAACACGUGAGUAACCUGCCCCGGACUCUGGAAUAAGCGCUGGAAACGGCGUCUAAUACCGGAUACGAGACGCAACCGCAUGGUUAGCGUCUGGAAAGUUUUUCGGUCUGGGAUGGACUCGCGGCCUAUCAGCUUGUUGGUGAGGUAAUGGCUCACCAAGGCGACGACGGGUAGCCGGCCUGAGAGGGCGACCGGCCACACUGGGACUGAGACACGGCCCAGACUCCUACGGGAGGCAGCAGUGGGGAAUAUUGCACAAUGGGCGAAAGCCUGAUGCAGCGACGCCGCGUGAGGGAUGACGGCCUUCGGGUUGUAAACCUCUUUCAGCAGGGAAGAAGCGAAAGUGACGGUACCUGCAGAAGAAGCACCGGCUAACUACGUGCCAGCAGCCGCGGUAAUACGUAGGGUGCGAGCGUUGUCCGGAAUUAUUGGGCGUAAAGAGCUUGUAGGCGGUUUGUCGCGUCUGCUGUGAAAAUCCGGGGCUCAACCCCGGACUUGCAGUGGGUACGGGCAGACUAGAGUGUGGUAGGGGAGACUGGAAUUCCUGGUGUAGCGGUGAAAUGCGCAGAUAUCAGGAGGAACACCGAUGGCGAAGGCAGGUCUCUGGGCCACUACUGACGCUGAGAAGCGAAAGCAUGGGGAGCGAACAGGAUUAGAUACCCUGGUAGUCCAUGCCGUAAACGUUGGGCGCUAGGUGUGGGACUCAUUCCACGAGUUCCGUGCCGCAGCUA
rnacentral:rRNA from 1 species